AGGUAGAAUUCCCGGUGUAGCGGUGAAAUGCGUAGAGAUCGGGAGGAAUACCAGUGGCGAAGGCGGCCUUCUGGACUGACACUGACGCUGAGGUGCGAAAGCGUGGGUAGCAAACAGGAUUAGAUACCCUGGUAGUCCACGCCGUAAACGAUGUCGACUAGCCGUUGGGGUCCUUGAGACCUUUGUGGCGCAGUUAACGCGAUAAGUCGACCGCCUGGGGAGUACGGCCGCAAGGUUAAAACUCAAAUGAAUUGACGGGGGCCCGCACAAGCGGUGGAGCAUGUGGUUUAAUUCGAUGCAACGCGAAGAACCUUACCUACCCUUGACAUCGAGAGAACUUGGCAGAGAUGCCUUGGUGCCUUCGGGAACUCUCAGACAGGUGCUGCAUGGCCGUCGUCAGCUCGUGUUGUGAAAUGUUGGGUUAAGUCCCGUAACGAGCGCAACCCUUGUCCCUAUUUGCCAGCGAUUCGGUCGGGAACUCUAGGGAGACUGCCGGUGACAAACCGGAGGAAGGUGGGGACGACGUCAGGUCAUCAUGGCCCUUACGGGUAGGGCUACACACGUGCUACAAUGGCCGGUACAAAGGGUUGCGAAGCCGCGAGGUGGAGCCAAUCCCGAAAAGCCGGUCUCAGUCCGGAUCGGAGUCUGCAACUCGACUCCGUGAAGUCGGAAUCGCUAGUAAUCGUGAAUCAGAAUGUCACGGUGAAUACGUUCCCGGGCCUUGUACACACCGCCCGUCACACCAUGGGAGUGGACUGCACC
rnacentral:rRNA from 1 species